rnacentral:tRNA from 1 species
GGAACUAUGGUGUAAUGGUAAUACAGCAAGUACAGGUUCAACUCCUGUCAGUUCUG